rnacentral:rRNA from 1 species
UACGUAGGGUGCGAGCGUUGUCCGGAAUUAUUGGGCGUAAAGGGCUCGUAGGCGGUUUGUCGCGUCGGGAGUGAAAACCCAGGGCUUAACCCUGGGCUGGCUUUCGAUACGGGCAGACUAGAGGUAUGCAGGGGAGAACGGAAUUCCUGGUGUAGCGGUGAAAUGCGCAGAUAUCAGGAGGAACACCGGUGGCCAAGGCGGUUCUCUGGGCAUUACCUGACGCUGAGGAGCGAAAGUGUGGGGAGCGAACAGG